CCCCCACCGGGUGACGCUGGAGCUGGGACCCCCCCACGGGGGCGGGGCGCUGCUGCUGGAGCUGGAACAAGCCUUUGCCCAGCCGCUCCUGGACACCCUGGAGAUGCCCCCGGGGACCCCCCCCGGGCAAUAAAAUCCGGAUUUGGGGUCAGGAGAGGUCACGGUGUC